ACACAUUAACCUUACAGAGGAUACAGAUGCUUAAACGGCUUAAGAAAUAAAUUCAAAGAGAGCUUACAAUUUGAGCUGAGAACAAGAAUUUGAUCCAAUAAGAGAAGAAAGAAAAACUAGCGAUUCAGGGAAAUAAAAGACAGAACAGCUAAUGGUGUUUCAUAUGCAGAAAACUAAGAUAAGAAGGGAAACUAAAUUUUGGAUCUAACAGGUAAUUACAGAAGCAAACCUGAGAAACAAUUUUGCGGAUCUGAGGUUCAAAACCCAUGUCUAGAAAAGAAGGGAAACUCAAUUUUGGAUCUAACAGGUAAUUACAGAAGCAAACCUGAGAAACAAUUUUGCGGAUCUGAGGUUCAAAACCCAUGUCUAGCAUGCGGUCAGCCUCAUCCAGCACAAGAUAUGUCACUCUUCGCAGGUUUGUAUGAUUAGAUUCUAACAUAUCAAUCAACCUUCCAGGUGUGGCAAUAACA
rnacentral:lncRNA from 1 species